UCUUGCCCUUAGACAUAAAGAUUUCAUAGUAUAAAGAUGUUGAUUCUCACAAAAUUACUUUUAAUAGCUGAAUAUAAACCCAAUAAAAAUACAAGUGACCCUUCCGUCCCUUCUCCCUCCCUUCAAAACUAGAUAUCUCCCUAGACCCUGCCUAUCCUUUUGUAUGCAGUCUCCUUAUUAGCCUCUUCUUGAUUACCCAGUUCAUGCAGGCCAUCUGUUUCCAGCAAGACCCCAUCUGCUAAAUACAAUGAAUGUCCUGGGAGUGGGUCUAGGAAACAGACCCUCAAAAUAAGAUUGGGGACUGCAUUGUUCCCAUAUUUAAGAAGUGAGUAAUGGGACACUGGUAAACCAUGGCAUGCAGUGGCAUCUCAGGCAUUCAACAUGUCACUGAUGAUGUCAUAGGAGAGGAAUGCAAAACAAUGGGAGAUCUAAGGGCUGAGAAACACACCUUGUGGCAACAAAAGGGACAGGAAAGGCAGUGAGGUCACCUGGCCACUUCUGAUGGUCCCUGAGUAUAAAGGGAGAACAGGGAAAAGGACAAACUGAAGAGGCAGGUGUACUGGCCAAAGCUAGAACUCCACCUACCAGUUUCAACUAAUGAUUCAUGUGUAUUUUUGCCCAAGAACCUACUGACAUUGCUCCGGAAGGACUGGAUCACACAUUCGUCACUGAAAACUUAUAGCUCCCAAGUAUCUACACACCAGUUCCAAGCUGCCAUCCCAGCUGCAGCCCUUCCACGGAGGGAUGAGGCAGUGUCCUGUCCGGUUCGACAUGGCUCUCCUAGCCCUGGCCAACUCCCUUCUUCCCCACAGGCCUCAAGUUCUGGCCCCACUUCUUUAUCCAUUCAAGAGGAGAGCAAAACUCACCUUCCUGGGCUACCUCUGUCUACCCUUCUGGAAUGCUUCCCGCCCUAGGCUUGUACCACACAGUUUUCACCCCAUUAUUCACUAUUCCACACAACUGUUUCAGUAGCCAGAUCAAGCUCCCCACCCUGGUUAUCCAUAGCCCUUGGCUGUUAGGAACACAAGGGUGAGGUUGAGGGGUAUCCCUGGGUGGCUCAGCAGUUUAGCGCCUGCCUUUGGCCCAGGGUGUGAUCCUGGGGUCUCGGGAUCAAGUGCCGCAUCAGGCUCCCUGCAUGGAGCCUGCUUCUCCCUCUGCCUGUGUCUCUGCCUCUCUCUCUGUCUCUCAUGAAUAAAUAAAAUCUUAAAAAAAAAGAAAAGAAACAAGGGUGAGGUUGACCAUGGUGAUCAAGGCUCAGAAUUCAAGCAUUAUUCCUUCCUGUGUGCUCGUGACUAAUUUCUAGUCAUGAAUUAUGGAAAAAAGAGGCGUGAGGAAAAUGAGUCACAUUUCAGAGUAGAUUAAAACAUGUCCUUCUACUUCUAAAAUGAAUCACAGAGAAGAACUAAACACAAGUUUUCAGCUACAGAAAACACAUGAAGAAAAAAAAAAGAAAGAAAGAAAACACA